AGAGAACAUAAACUAAGAGCCAAGAAACCCAAGAAAGGUUUAUGGUGAAUCCUGUAAAAGGCAUGAGGUUGGUGCUAAAUAACCAUAUAUGUUGAAAUUGGACAAAUAUCAAGAGUAUUUAUCAACAGAUAAAGACUCCCUGAAAAAACAUGAGUGGACAACUAUCUGUAUAAACACUCAAGCCUCUAAGCAUAUAGUUAAAUUUAGUCAUGCAAUAAGCCUGGAACAUUAAAGCCAGAAAUCAACUGCCCAAUAGACAGUCUGUUGCUGCCAAAUAACAUGGAGCAAUGAUGCUCUGAAAAGAUUGAGUAUGCAAAACUUACUGGAAGUGCAUAUAUUUUGCUACUGUUAAUCUCAGAUACAACAGAGUUCAGCAUUUGCAUACAAAAAAUAUUCAAAACUUUAGCCAUAUAAGCACGUUUCAAUUCCAAGCUCCACCAUUUCUUUUCAUCUAUCAUUAAGCCCAAAAGUACUUCCAAACAGUCAACCAAUAAACCUUAAAACCUAAUUUGUCAAACCUUAUCACUUCCUCCGGCUCAUGACUCCUAAUUUUGUGUGGCAUCUUCACCUGACAAGACUUCACUUACUCCAAAUAAUCCUGAUCAUGCCUAA
rnacentral:misc_RNA from 1 species